rnacentral:rRNA from 1 species
CCUGGUUGAUCCUGCCAGUGGUCAUAUGCUUGUCUCAAAGAUUAAGCCAUGCAUGUUUAAGCAGAAGCCGCACAACGGUAAAGCCGCGAAUGGCUCAUUACAACAGCCGUCGUUUCUUGGAUCUCUAAUUUUACUUGGAUAACUGUGGUAAUUCUAGAGCUAAUACACGCACUAAAGCUCUGACCUUACGGAACGAGCGCAUUUAUUAGAACAAAACCAAUCGGGUUUCGGCCCGUUCGUUGGUGACUCUGAAUAACUCUGCCGAUCGCACGGUCUCGCACCGGCGACGUAUCUUUCAAGUGUCUGCCUUAUCAACUUUCGAUGGUAGUUUAUGUGCCUACCAUGGUUGUAACGGGUAACGGAGAAUAAGGGUUCGACUCCGGAGAGGGAGCCUGAGAAACGGCUACCACAUCCAAGGAAGGCAGCAGGCGCGCAAAUUACCCACUCUCGGCACGAGGAGGUAGUGACGAAAAAUAACGAGACGGAUCUCUUUGAGGCCCGUUAUCGGAAUGAGAACAAUUCAAAUCCUUUAACGAGGAUCUAGCGGAGGGCAAGUCUGGUGCCAGCAGCCGCGGUAAUUCCAGCUCCGCAGGUGUAUAUCUAUGCUGCUGCGGUUAAAAAGCUCGUAGUUGGAUCUGCGUGCUCGGAACUGGUUGGCUCACUGAGUUCAAACUGGUCUCCGGCGCUUUAUUGGCUGGUUUUCCCUUGAUGCUCUUAACCGGGUGUCUUGGGUGGCUAGCACGUUUACUUUGAAAAAAUUAGAGUGCUCAAUACAGGCGUAAAGCCUUGAAUAGUGGUGCAUGGAAUAAUAGAAUAGGACCUCGGCUCUAUUUUGUUGGUUUUCGGAACGCGAGGUAAUGAUUAAGAGGGACAGACGGGGGCAUUCGUAUUGCGACGUUAGAGGUGAAAUUCUUGGAUCGUCGCAAGACGGACGACUGCGAAAGCAUUUGCCAAGAAUGUUUUCAUUAAUCAAGAACGAAAGUUAGAGGUUCGAAGGCGAUCAGAUACCGCCCUAGUUCUAACCGUAAACGAUGCCAACUAGCGAUUCGCAGGCGUUAAACAACGACCUUGCGGGCAGCUUCCCGGAAACGAAAGUGUUCGGGUUCCGGGGGAAGUAUGGUUGCAAAGCUGAAACUUAAAGGAAUUGACGGAAGGGCACCACCAGGAGUGGAGCCUGCGGCUUAAUUUGACCCAACACGGGAAAACUCACCCGGCCCGGACACCGUAAGGAUUGACAGAUUGAGAGCUCUUUCUUGAUUCGGUGGGUGGUGGUGCAUGGCCGUUCUUAGUUGGUGGAGCGAUUUGUCUGGUUUAUUCCGAUAACGAACGAGACUCUGGCCUACUAAAUAGUGGGCGGAU